rnacentral:rRNA from 1 species
AUGGGCGUGCUCGCUCGGCUCGCCGCCGGCGGCCGGUUUGGCCGGUCAAUUCCAGAUGGGCUUGACAAGCAGACCUCAGUAGCGCCAUCCCUUUCUGCCGCCGGCGAUCAAGGUGAGCACGCGUCGCCGAUUGUGAUCGAGCAGAAUGCGACGGCGUCAUGGACGGAGAAGGGCCGGACGUACCACCGGUACGCGGUGACGGUGACCAACAGGUCGCUGAACAAGACGGUGCACGAGCUGUACCUCGGCAUCGCCGAGCUCUACGGCCCGGUGACGGGGCUCGACAAGAAGCGGUACGGCCACGUGCUGCCGGGCACGGCCCGUCGGUGCCCGCCGGCGGGAACUUCAAGUUCGAGGAAGUUGGAGCGAUGGGGCUAG